rnacentral:tRNA from 1 species
UCAUCAAGUAGUUUAGUGGUAAAACAUUGCUCUCUAGCAGUAAAGAUCCGAGUUCAAGUCUCCGGGUUGGUGAU